AGCUUGUCCGGGUCGACCGCGCGCGAGGCGAGCAGGUAGUCGCGCAUGACGAUGCCGUGGCGCCCCUC
rnacentral:sRNA from 1 species